rnacentral:rRNA from 1 species
UACGUAGGGGGCAAGCGUUGUCCGGAAUUAUUGGGCGUAAAGAGCUUGUAGGCGGUCUGUCGCGUCUGCUGUGAAAAUCCGGGGCUCAACCCCGGACUUGCAGUGGGUACGGGCAGACUAGAGUGUGGUAGGGGAGACUGGAAUUCCUGGUGUAGCGGUGAAAUGCGCAGAUAUCAGGAGGAACACCAAUAGCGAAGGCAGCUCGCUGGGACGUUACUGACACUGAGGCGCGAAAGCGUGGGGAGCGAACAGG